UUAAAACAAAGCAUGAACGUUGUAAAAGAGAAGCGUGACCGUUAUUAAAAAAAGCUCUGAAACUACACCACAUGGAGGAAAUGGUGAUCGUUAGAAAAAACGUCGCCGUUGUAAAAAGCAUGACUGUUAAAAAAGUAUGACCGUUUCAAAAAACACGAUGUUUUCUACCUCUUAUAAAUGGUGACUUGCAGCCAGGAAGAAGGAAAGCAAGAGGCAGAGACAGAGCAAUGGCAAUUUAUGCAGAGUAUUUGGCAGCAAGCGUGGCAAUUCCUGAAUUGCCCAUCUCGUGGUUAUUGUCAGGAGGUUGGUUAUGUUUAGCGUCUUGUUUCUAUCAGUAAAGGGCCUGGUGGGAGUUGAUUGGAAGUUAAAACUCAUAUGAAAUACUGAUACAUACGGUCCUUAUAUUCCUAGACGUCGACUUUAAAUCAAGUAUGUUUUGUGUUUUGUUCCUUAUACAUCGGUUCUUUUGUUUUUCACUUCAAAUGUGUUUUGGGUUUCAUCCUUAUGCUAUGAAAAUGAUCUUUUCAUCUGAUUUCUGAUUGUUUGGUGUUUGGGUGUUCUGAUAUUUGGCUUUUCAUGUGUCUGGUAUGCUGAGCUUUUUGUUGAGGAUUUGAUUGAUUGUUUCGAAAGCUAUUAGACACUGUGGGUUAGGGAUGUUCCGUUAUGCAUUAGAUUUAUAAAAGGUUUUUUAAUCCUAUUUGAAAAUUCGUAGAAAUGCAUUUUGGUUUGUUGUGGAUAGGAAUCCAGAUGCAGGUGGAUUACUGGUAUAGUUGUUAGAUACAUAUACAAUUUUGGGUUGAGGAUUUAAUGAAUUGGGUAUGGCGGGUUAUGCCCUGAUUUAUUUUUACAGUGACUCUGAUUUGGUUGGUUUUGAUGUAUUGGGUUUAUUGGAUUGAUCUACUCGCAAAUAUAUAGAGUAUGGAUGGUGGUAUCUUGAGUUAUAGAUGUGUUUGGGACGCACUUCAUGAUCAGUAGCAAAUUUUUGUUAUUACCAUUUGAUCAAUAUGUUGAGCAAUCCCCUCUUUGAACACACUUAAAUUGUAUCUAGCCUUGAGUCUUAUCUUCUUUUAUCUGAAAUCUUUCUUUCAUUUAUCCUUUAGAGUUGAGCAAAGGACUGAUGAAGUGAGGGUCAGAUUUUGACGCAAAAAGAUUACUUGAACUCCAAUAUACAGACCGUUAUAAUCCUACAUAAACUGUCAUUUUGUUAUUUUCCUUUUAAAUCUCUUGUGCAGCGAUCGAGACAUUUUGUCAAACAAUUCAUAUGCCUUGUCUGUCACUUUCUUAUGGUUUAUAUGUUGCACAUCAUUAAUGGGUGCACAUCAAAGAUUGGGAGUAGCUUUUUUCAAAUGCUAUGGCCCCUUUCUACUUGGCCAAUCCACGAUAUGUCCGUGUGUAUGAUUCCUAACUUGAAAAUUAUUUGACAUUUUUUCUUUCCUGUAAGUUAGAAUUAUUUUAGACAUUUUUUCUUUCUUGUGUUUGAGAAUUAUUUUAUACACUUUCUUUCCGGCGGCAGUAGAGAAUCAUUGUAAAUGGCAUCUAAACUGCGGAAAUCUUGCCUAAUUGUAUUUAAUCUAUUUAAUCUCAUAGAUACUAUUGGAUUUCAUGAGGACUCAGAGACAUUGUAUACCAUAUCUGUGUUGGUCAUAUCCUCUUAGUUUUAACUUAUUUUCGUUAGUGCCUGUGUAUUUUUCUGUUCCUUGGCAUUGUUUGUGUAUAUGGGGAGCUGUAACUUAUUCAAUCUCAUAGUACUAUUGGGUUUCGUGAAGACUUAUACAUUUGUAUGCCAUGUCUGUGUUGGUUAAAUCCUCUAGUUUUAACUUCUAUUCGUUACUGCCUCUGUGUAUUUUUCUGUUUACUUGGUAUUGUCUGUGUAUAUGUCAUACGGGGAGGUGGUUCUGAUCAAGAUGUAAUCAAUUUUGAGGCACUUUCUACCUUUACCAAAUGAAUGGUGGGAUUAAUUCAUUCCUUGUUGCCUAGGUUGAGGUAAGUUUUUUGAAUGCAAUUUUUCAUCUCCUCUGUUUCUUUAAGUUUUGAAAGUAGCCACUUGGAAAGUUGUCUUGAGGGUGGGUGUUGGAGAAACAAAUUUUAUAUAGAGAAUUACCAACUUAAUGAGGCACGGGCUAACAUAUGAGCUGGCUAUGGGCCUUAAAUUGGAGACUACGGGAGGAAUGGCACAAGCUAGAGAGUAAGGCAAACUUGCUAUUAUGGAGAAUGGCAUCCCAAUUCCAUAAGGACGGUAAGUAGAUAGCUGGAUGCGUGGGAAAAGGCGCAGGGGCAGUAGAAAUUCAGAGACAAAUGCAAUUGGCAGUGAAAGCCAAAUUCCAAAAAUUGUUUCCCACGUUAUUACUGUCUGUGCCUUGAAAAGGACAGAAAAGAAUUGAGAAGGGAGAAUAGGUGAAGGACUCUCUACCAGACUUAAAAAGGGGAGAAAAAAAAUUGAGAAGGGGGAAUGGUGUGAGAGAGAGAAAAGAGGAGGCAGUGGAAAGACAGGAAAACCACGUGUGAAAAGAAGACAGAAAUGUGAGGAGAACAAGCAAGGGUUAUGACAUGAUUGGAGGCGACCAUACUGGAGUUGUAGAGGCAGGUAGAGAAUAAAAAUAGAGAAAUGCAUGGGUAGAAGGGAUUGAACGAGUUUUGAUAAGGGUUUUAAAUCAGCAUAAGGCAUAGAGGAGUUUUGUUAGAUGGUAUGGCUGCAACUACUGUGCAGAGAAAUAUAAUCUCUUGGGUCACCACUAUUGAAAAAUACAUACAGUGGAACUGUUGGGCUACAGAAACUUUCAAGAAAAUGCAAUCGGAUGUUGGCAUGUGUCUAUGUGUAUGUUCUUUGGUCUCUAUUCUCUUUCAAGCAUUUUGAAGCAUUUCAGAUCAGAGGAUAGAUGAGGCCAGCGCUUCAUAUCAGGCAGUGGAUCACAUGUCACUUCCCACAAGCCCUGUAACAAAAAAAACAGUCAUUAAACCCUGAACUGGGAAAAAUUAGUAUUGUCUUCGCCUGUCAUAUUUUCGCGGGUUUGCAACUAAUAUUUGGUUCAUUGGUAUAGUGGAUGUUAAAAUUCUUCUAUUCUAUUCAUUUUCUUGAUUUAUAGCUCUAUAAUAUUUGAUCUAUUUUCUC